CGGGCCCCUGAGGCCAUAGCCUUGCCUCUGAGGGGACCAAGGCAGUCUGGCAAGUCAGGAAGGUGGAGGCCACGUCUUAAACAUCUUGCCUCUUCUUUUCUCCUCCCCUGAGCAUUUAGAAGAAACCAGAUCUGCAGAAAAUGUUCCCUCAUGCAGCAGUCCUUCCACCAAGGGCACCUUCUACCUGCAAGUCCUCUUCAGCCUACGACUGAUUCCUGAUUCUCUUUUGACUCAUGGCCUCUGUAACCCUCCCUGAGUGGCCAUGACCCUGCAUCUGUGGAGGUCCCUACCGUUACUCGCUUGCCUGUGACAAAUAUGGGACUGGCACUUCAGGGGGGAAAAGCAGCAGCAGGAGUUGAUCAAUUCCUAAGCAACGAAGAUCCUGUUUUCAUGCAAACGUCCUCGGCAUUAAAGCAAAAACAAAUUCCUCCCAGGGAGCGUCCUGGAUGCCAAGACACAUUUUUAAGCGAGGUUUUGCGCCUGCGUGAGACACGAACAGGGAUGAGAGGAGAGUUGCAUGCCAAGUGCCGUCUCCUAUGUGCUCAUUGAAACCUCACAGCCACCCCACUAGCCAGCACAGUCGGAUCCCGAUUUGACAGAUAAGGAAACAGGCAGAGAGAAAUGAGGGACCAUGUCCAGUGUCAAUCACCUGGCAAAUGGAAGCCAGGGGAUGUGACCAGGUCUGAUGGAAGCAGUGUUGCUUCUGACACAAGCACGGGUGUCAACUGUGACUGCGUUCAUCUCACAGAGACUCAGGGCAUCAGCACAGACAUUUCAGAUGAGUAUGGGUAAAACCUUUUUUUUUUUCUUAGUGUGCUUUUCCCAUCACCAAAUAAAAAGAAAUUUGGAUGGUGCCUGGGUAUCAAUGCUCUCCUUAUAGAGAAAACAGACCUGGGUGUGAAUCUAGAUGAAGUGUUAGAAUUGACUAAAUGCUGUUCAGUCUGUGAUGCAGACUUGGUGCUCAGAAGUGUCCUUGACUACUUGGCUCUAGGAGUGGUCUUGGCUUCCUUGCCUCUGAUGCCAUCAGCAGAUAAAGACAGGGUGACCAUGAGAGAUAUUACGGGGUGAUGCAGGACCUUUAGGUGGAAUGAUAACAAGUGCGCCUAGUUCUGAAAAGGUGGGGAUCCGUGAGGGCUUCCUGGAGGAGGGAGAUAUUUUGAUUCAACACAGCGAGGAUCUUGCAACAGACAACUUUGGCCGGAUCCUAGAGGAGCUGGGAGUCCGCCAACACCAGCCCUACUGGAGGAACACCACCGGGUUCACUAGGCUUGCACAAUGGUUACAGAAAUUGUCCGCAGGGCAUCUAGCCUCCAGCUGGCUCCAGCAGCUUUGUCCUUUGAGAUCAUAGGUGCCCCAAAGAAACACACGUAGGACCAGGAUAUACAAUUCACUUUUCGCGUCAGGGAUUGUGAGACCUCCCUAGUAUCCAUGUUCCUCCCUUUCCCUCCCAGGUUUGUAGUUGGACUACAUUUCCCAGCCUUCCUUGCAGUCAGGAGUGGUCAUGUGAUUGCAUUGUGCCCAUUGGAACGGGAGCAGAAUUCCAGGCCUUACCCCAAAAACCUUCCACUUGUGGUUCUCUCUCUUUCUCCCAUCUACCCACUGAAUGGAGAGAGCUCCCAGGACUAGAGGGAGACAGAGCCACAAAAUAAGAAAGAGCCUGGGUCCCUGAAUCACUGUGUGGAAGAAUGCCUGCCAAACACAUACACCGAAUUGUGUGAGCAGGAAGUAAGGUGUUCAGCUAUGAUAAUUUGGGGGUCGUUACACACUGUUAGCCCACCCUGACUAAUAUAGCCUCUUACUAGCCAUGUGGCUUUGGAAAAGUUUCUUAACCUGCCCUAGUUUCAGUUUCCUGGUCUAUACAAACCAUCUUGUGAAUGACUGAACUAACCUUUGUAAAGCUCCUAUAAUCAAGGCCGCAUUAUGGCUUCCGUGAGCCCUGGGCCCUUUUGCCUUUGCCAGUCCCUUUCUGCAUUAAAAAAACCCCAACAAAACCCACCAAAGCACAAACACAUUAAAAAUUAGGUUUCACAAUUAUAACUGGUAUAAAGAUGAAUAUACUCCAGGCCGAAUUCAUUAUCAUGGUUAUCAUUAUUAUUUAUCACUUUUAUAUUUGAUUUUAUACUCACUAGCAUUAUAUUCAUUUUUUUUCUUCUGAUUUUAAGAGAAAUCAAAAUUGAACAUUUUCUGGGGCCUUAGGCACUGUGCCUAUUGUGCCUAAUGCAGAAGCUGACUCUGCUUGCUACAGUGCCUGGCUCAUGACUCGCGCAACACAAGGCAACUAUUAUGGAUCUUUAAAAAGUAAUAAUAAUAAGACGGAGGCAUGAAAGAGCACCAAAUGGUUAUGAAGCCGUUUCAUAUACAUCGUUUUCUCCAGCUCCCGCCUCCAUUGUAUGAGAUGGACAUCAUCUAUAUUUUCCAAUGAAACCAGAGGAGGCUCAUGGACAUGAAGUGUCACGGUCAAGCAGGGCAGCGCCGUCUACCACUCCAUGCUGUCUGCAGGGUGCUUUAUGUCAGACGCGACGCUACACACCUGUCUUACUUUAUCACCUUUAAUUUUCACAACCCUAUGAUGAGGUAGGGAUAUUCAUAUUUGUCCCCAUUGUAUGACUGAAGAAAGAAACUGAUGCCAAGGACAAGUGGCUGAGCUCAGAACUGAAACCACGUCUGGUGCCAAAUCUAAUGCUCGCUCUACCACCCUGCCUUCCCAUCUAUCAAUAGCUGUGUCACGAGAAUUGAUAAAUGGCAGUGUCGGUGGAGGGUGUCAGACACCCUGACACCUCCUUUCACAGAGCGGGAGAAGAACCUGCUCAGGGCUGACAUCCAAACACAUCCUGCCAGAUUAUGCUUGUGCUUUUUUAUUCUCCACCCAAAUGUACUCUUUAGAAGGUCUAAUUAUAGUGACUUCUAUUUUCUUGUAAAUAAUCACAUCUGUCAUAACUGAUUUAACUGAUCUGAGGUUCCAAGUUGGCAGUCUUGGCGGCCUGAGCCAAUGUGUCAAUUAUGCCAAGUAGGCCGUAAGCAAAACUUGCAUGAAAUGGAAGAGAGAAAAAAAAAAUUAGUUGCAUGCAUAUACAUGGUGGGGAUCAAUAUGUGAUUUUUUUUCACAACAAUCAUAUCAACACAAACUCCUUGACGUGGCCAAUGGGUGUCAAUCCCUCAGCAACCCAACUUAGUAAAACAGACACAGCCAGGCAAGAUCUCAGGGAAUAAAAACAAUCUUUUUCAUGGAGACACAAUUCUAAAAACUGGCUUCCUAAAUACCUUUUGCGUCUAAGUAACCACUACCCCUGGGAAUUUGCCACAGCUCUUUAUGCCUGUUUUCUGGGAGAAAAACAGAAAUGAUUCAAGAACAUAGUCUUAAGGGCUACAUUCUGAGUGUGGCUAUUCAGCCAGCCUCAAGUACUAGCAAGAACUUUGGGUCUGGACUUGGGUACAGGUCUGCUCUGUCCCACCAACUUAUCAGUCAGCAGUGUGCCUAAGCAACAAAGCAAAUCAUUGAACGUUCCCGAACUCAUCUCAGCUUUCUCAUCUAUAAAGUGAUGACAACCUAGAACCCUGGUGGAACUGAUGACACGAUGACUUGUGUGUGACAGCUUGCUGGAAAGUGUAAGCACUGCAUAAAUGCUAAGCAUCAUCAUUACUAACAGAUCAGCAUAUACCGAGUCCUGUCUUCAACCCAAAGGGAUGGCUUCUUUCUUCCCUCAAAGAACCCUAAGGAGAAACAGUCACGCUUUAAGUCAGAGAAGGGAUAAGAGAUGGGAUCUACUUGGGACUUCUUUCACAGAAAGGUGUUUGAAAAUCAUCCUGCCAAUAGAGUCCCUGUAUCCGAUGGGAAGCCGUGAGAAAAGAGUUUCUUCCAGACCCAGAAUGAAAAUUCCAUGAGGCAGGACUCCCUCUCUCUCUGUUUUGUUCCCCAAGAGCCUGGAAG